UAAUCACACAUAAACUGCAAUAACCCGGUGAAAACAAGUGAACAUGUCACUGUAAAUCUCCUGUAACACAAUAUGUGCAUUGCUCGCUGUCUGUAAUGAGCUCUGUGUUUAUGAUAAUGAUGUGAUGACAGGGAAACAAUGCUCACUGUAACUAUGAUCAACAUAAUAAUGAUUAUAUUAGUCACAAACACGAACCUGCACCGCCGGAAACGCGCCAGCUCGCUCCCGAUGACGUCGCGUCACUUCAGAGCCGUGAUUAUGACUUUAAUAAAAAAUCUGUUCAAUAAUAACUGAACUUUAAUCGAAAAAGUCGCUUUAACUCGAGCUAACUCACACCACCCUGGCUUACAGUAGCGAUGACUUCACCUCCGGCAGAGCCAGUUCCGGCUGUUAUUGUUAAUUUUUGCUUUGUCAAGAUAAUACAAUUAUUUAUUGUUAAACUUUUAAAGUCGUGUUGAAUAAUACAAUAUAUCUGUCUCCACAUGUAUACUGGGUUUUUGCUGUAUAUUAUGGGUUCUGUUAUUAUUUAAUCCUUUCACAAGCGAGUCCCUCAUGAGGACUUUUAUCUGGAGAUUCAAGUGCGCAUGCCCGGAAGAGGAUCUUCAGCGUGAUCAGAUUAAAUGUAAACUGCGUUUCUUCAGCAUUAAAUGUGCUUAUUAAGUUAAUCGAUCGAUCUGAUCGAUCUUCACAGCAUUGUUUGACUCCAAGACUCGAUUGGUACCGAUUCAGAUGAUUCACUAACUGAUUCAGGAUUCACUCGACGCGCGGACAGGAUGGUGUGUGAGCUGCUGCUGUCCUCGGUGUGGUUUCUCUUCGUCAUCUUCUGGCUGGAGACCAUCAGCGUGUGGCUCUUUCUGUGUCUGUACUAUCAGGACCGGGUCUUCUAUCACUGGGGCUCAGGGAUUGAUCUGUCAACACACAUGCAAACGUGAGGAGGUGAUGUCGUCAGUUGGGAGAGGUGUAGCCUGAGGAUGAGGGCGGGGCUGCCGUGAGGGGCGGAGCUCCGCUAGUCUGCGAUGAGGAGUUUCAGGAGGCCGAUGGGAAGGGCGUGAUGUUAUCCUGUAGUCCUGAACUCAGACUGGUGACCUGUGUGAACGGUUUAUCUGUCUAAUCUGUUAAACUAGUUGGAGAUUCGGCUGUUACUUUCACUCUAUAAAACACUAACAGAUCCUUGUCGAAUUAUUGCUUUUCUAUUUUUGUACAGAUGUGUGUUUUUGCAUCAUGAUGUUGUGUAAUAAAAGCCAUUUUACAGACUUUUCAUACAGGUUUCUUUUUUGUACACGUACAUGAGCUCAGCAUGAUUUUAUUUAUUUAUUUAACAUUUCAUUCAUCAUUUCAUCUCGCACUGACCCUCAGUCAACACACUCUGACCCACAAUGCAUACAGAAAAAUAGAUGCACAUAACAAUUGUUUCUUUUUAUUCAUGUUUAUACACAGUGUUGACAAAUAAGACAGUUAUAAUCAUUUAUAGCAAACUCUGCUGUUUUUAAACCACAAUAUAGUAAAGUACUGAAAUUGUGGUGAUCCUACAGUUGCUAUAGUAACACAACUACAGUAAUUGAUCUGUUGUGGUGAUCCUACAGUUGCUAUAGUAACACAAGUACAGUAAUUAACCUGUUGUGGUGAUUCUACAGUUGCUAUAGUAACACAAGUACAGUAAUUAACCUGUUGUGGUGAUUCUACAGUUGCUAUAGUAACACAAGUACAGUAAUUAACCUGUUGUGGUGAUUCUACAGUUGCUAUGGUAACACAACUACAGUAAUUGAUCUGUUGUGGUGAUCCUACAGUUGCUAUAGUAACACAAGUACAGUAAUUAACCUGUUGUGGUGAUUCUACAGUUGCUAUAGUAACACAACUACAGUAAUUGAUCUGUUGUGGUGAUUCUACAGUUGCUAUAGUAACACAAGUACAGUAAUUAACCUGUUGUGGUGAUCCUACAGUUGCUAUAGUAACACAACUACAGUAAUUGAUCUGUUGUGGUGAUCCUACAGUUGCUAUAGUAACACAAGUACAGUAAUUAACCUGUUGUGGUGAUUCUACAGUUGCUAUAGUAACACAAGUACAGUAAUUAACCUGUUGUGGUGAUCCUACAGUUGCUAUAGUAACACAACUACAGUAAUUGAUCUGUUGUGGUGAUCCU
rnacentral:lncRNA from 1 species